rnacentral:rRNA from 1 species
AGAGUUUGAUCAUGGCUCAGAACGAACGCUGGCGGCAUGCCUAACACAUGCAAGUCGAACGAGACCUCACCUUCGGGUGAACGUCUAGUGGCGCACGGGUGCGUAACGCGUGGGAAUCUGCCCUUCGGUUCGGAACAACAGUUAGAAAUGACUGCUAAUACCGGAUGAUGACGUAAGUCCAAAGAUUUAUCGCCGAAGGAUGAGCCCGCGUAGGAUUAGCUAGUUGGUAAGGUAAAAGCUUACCAAGGCGACGAUCCUUAGCUGGUCUGAGAGGAUGAUCAGCCACACUGGGACUGAGACACGGCCCAGACUCCUACGGGAGGCAGCAGUGGGGAAUAUUGGACAAUGGGCGAAAGCCUGAUCCAGCAAUGCCGCGUGAGUGAUGAAGGCCUUAGGGUUGUAAAGCUCUUUUACCAGGGAUGAUAAUGACAGUACCUGAGAAUAGUCCGAUGCGU